rnacentral:rRNA from 1 species
GAUGAACGCUGGCGACGUGCUUAACACAUGCAAGUCGAACGGAAAGGCCCAAGCUUGCUUGGGUACUCGAGUGGCGAACGGGUGAGUAACACGUGGGUGAUCUGCCCUGCACUUCGGGAUAAGCCUGGGAAACUGGGUCUAAUACCGGAUAGGACCACUUCUUGGAUGUUGUGGUGGAAAGUUUUUUCGGUGUGGGAUGAGCUCGCGGCCUAUCAGCUUGUUGGUGGGGUAAUGGCCUACCAAGGCGUCGACGGGUAGCCGGCCUGAGAGGGUGUACGGCCACAUUGGGACUGAGAUACGGCCCAGACUCCUACGGGAGGCAGCAGUGGGGAAUAUUGCACAAUGGGCGCAAGCCUGAUGCAGCGACGCCGCGUGGGGGAUGACGGCCUUCGGGUUGUAAACUCCUUUCGCUAGGGACGAAGCGUUUUGUGACGGUACCUGGAGAAGAAGCACCGGCUAACUACGUG